GAUGAACGCUAGCGGCAGGCCUAAUACAUGCAAGUCGAGGGGUAAAUAUGUAGCAAUAUAUAUGAGACCGGCGCACGGGUGCGUAACACGUAUGCAACCUACCUUUUACUGGGGCAUAGCUCAGAGAAAUCUGAAUUAAUACCCCAUAACACUGCAGAUAGGCAUCUAUUAGCAGUUAAAGCUCCGGCGGUAAAAGAUGGGCAUGCGGAACAUUAGCUAGUUGGUGAGGUAAUGGCUCACCAAGGCUACGAUGUUUAGGGGGUCUGAGAGGAUGAUCUCCCACACUGGUACUGAGACACGGACCAGACUCCUACGGGAGGCAGCAGUAGGGGAUAUUGCACAACGGGCGCAAGCCUGAUGCAGCGACGCCGCGUGGGGGAUGGAGGCUUUCGGGUUGUAAACCCCUUUCGGCGCGGGACGAAGGCUCCGUUUGGCGGGGUUGAGGUACGCGUCAAGAAGCGCCGGCUAACUACGUGCCAGCAGCCGAC
rnacentral:rRNA from 1 species